rnacentral:rRNA from 1 species
AUGCACGCUGGCGGCGUGCUUAACACCUGCAAGUCGCACGGAAAGGCCUCUGCUUGCAGGGGUACUCGAGUGGCGAACGGGUGAGUAACACGUGGGUGAUCUGCACUGCACUUCGGGAUAAGCCUGGGAAACUGGGUCUAAUACCGGAUAGGACAAUGGUUUGGAUGCUGUUGUGGAAAGUUUUUCGGUGUGGGAUGAGCUCGCGGCCUAUCAGCUUGUUGGUGGGGUAAUGGCCUACCAAGGCGUCGACGGGUAGCCGGCCUGAGAGGGUGUACGGCCACAUUGGGACUGAGAUACGGCCCAGACUCCUACGGGAGGCAGCAGUGGGGAAUAUUGCACAAUGGGCGCAAGCCUGAUGCAGCGACGCCGCGUGGGGGAUGACGGCCUUCGGGUUGUAAACUCCUUUCGCUAGGGACGAAGCGUUUUUGUGACGGUACCUGGAGAAGAAGCACCGGCUAACUACGUG